CUUCUGGACACUUCGGGAAGAAUCUGCUUCCGCGCCUCUUCCAGCUUUCAGAGGCUGCCUGCAUUCUUUGGUUCCUUCCUCUAAUCUUCAAAACCAGCAGCUAAGCAUCUUUUCUCCUUUCUGACUUCCUGCUGCCCUCUUAAGUCUACCAUUUGCUUCUUUGGUAGCAUCCUCAGUUGGAAUUGGCCUAUGGCAAUCAAUAUUUUUGGAGCUCAUUAAUGGACUAUGCUAAGGUGAUUUCCAUAUACUAUUUUUUAA
rnacentral:lncRNA from 1 species